AUGGGAACGCGAAGAACCUUACCCACCUUUGACAUGGCAGGAACUUACCAGAGAUGGUUUGGUGCUCGAAAGAGAACCUGCACACAGGUGCUGCAUGGCUGUCGUCAGCUCGUGUCGUGAGAUGUUGGGUUAAGUCCCGCAACGAGCGCAACCCUUGCCAUUAGUUGCUACAUUCAGUUGAGCACUCUAAUGGGACUGCCGGUGACAAACCGGAGGAAGGUGGGGAUGACGUCAAGUCCUCAUGGCCCUUAUAGGUGGGGCUACACACGUCAUACAAUGGCUGGUACAAAGGGUUGCCAACCCGCGAGGGGGAGCUAAUCCCAUAAAGCCAGUCGUAGUCCGGAUCGCAGUCUGCAACUCGACUGCGUGAAGUCGGAAUCGCUAGUAAUCGUGGAUCAGAAUGUCACGGUGAAUACGUUCCCGGGUCUUGUACACACCG
rnacentral:rRNA from 1 species